GGUCAGGACGAACGCUGGCGGCGUGCUUCAUACAUGCAAGUCGAACGAUAAGGCACCUUCGGGUGUACAUAAGUGGCGGACGGGUGAGUAAUAUGUAGAGAAUCUGCCCUAGAGAGUGGGACAACAGUUGGAAACGACUGCUAAUACCGCAUAUGAGCGUACCUGAAAUGGUAUUCUUGAAAACUCCGGUGCUCUGGGAUGAGUCUGCAUCUGAUUGGCUAGUUGGGGGUGUAAUGGACCACCAAGGCGACGAUCAGUAGCUGGUUUGAGAGGAUGACCAGCCACAAUGGGACUGAGACACGGCCCAUACUCCUACGGGAGGCAGCAGUAGGGAAUUUUGCGCAAUGGGGGAAACCCUGACGCCAGCAACGCCGCGUGACCGAUGAAGCCCUUCGGGGUGUAAAGGUCUGUCAGUGGGGACGAAUAUUGACGGUACCCACAGAGGAAGCAUCGGCUAACUCCGUGCCAGCCGCGGC
rnacentral:rRNA from 1 species